UUUUUUUUAAACAUUUUUAUUUUAACAUCAAACGUGACUAAUUUCUUUAGUUCACGAGCGGAUUGUUGAGUAGACAUAACUAAAGUCUCAAAAACAGAGACAUGAACACCAACACGUACAGUGUCUCCUGCUCCAAUAACAGAACCUGGUUUCUGUUUGCAUCAGUUUUCAGUGAAAAUAGAUCAAAACUGUGUACAACACAAAACACAGGACAAAAGUAUGCAACACUCCAACAUGCUGCUUCAGAGGCCUCCGCUCUUCUGGAAAUGCUCUCCACAACCCUUCGGUUCCUG